rnacentral:tRNA from 1 species
GUAGACAUAGUUUAACUAAAAACACUAGAUUGUGAUUCUAAAAAUAGGGGUUAAAGCCCCCUUGUCCACC